rnacentral:sRNA from 1 species
CCAUUUGUGACUAGAAAAUGCUGAGAAAGCACUUGGUGCUACCUGGAUUUAUUAUAUUAUCAGGUAAAUUUGGAAGGCAAAGCCAGCCCUCUGUCACUUCUACAAAUGGCCUCCCCAAGUGGCCUGUGUGUCUUGGUUCGCCUGCCCAAGCUAAUCUGUGGAGGAAAAACACUACCAAGAACGUUAUUGGAUAUUUUGGCAGAUGGCACCAUUUUGAAAGUUGGAGUGGGAUGCUCAGAAGAUGCCAGCAAGCUUCUGCAGGAUUAUGGCCUCGUUGUUAGGGGGUGCCUGGACCUCCGAUACCUAGCCAUGCGGCAGAGAAACAAUUUGCUCUGUAAUGGGCUUAGCCUGAAAUCCCUCGCUGAGACUGUUUUGAACUUUCCCCUUGACAAGUCCCUUCUACUUCGUUGCAGCAACUGGGAUGCUGAGACUCUCACAGAGGACCAGGUAAUUUAUGCUGCCAGGGAUGCCCAGAUUUCAGUGGCUCUCUUUC